rnacentral:lncRNA from 1 species
UGGAAGGAGUAUGCUUCUGAAAGUCAAUCCCGGGCAAAAGCAACGCAGAGCAAUACCCCCUCCAUCCUGAUAUUAGCGCGUUUGUUUUUCUAGGGGAUUCCCUUUCGUCUGUGAUCUGAGGAUCUCCAAGCUUUUGACACACACGAGGCUUCACAAUGUGCUUGGCAGGUGCAGAGAGGAAUAUCACCAUAGCCAUCGCGUCAGUCCACACCACUCUACCCUCAUGGACACAGGAUCCACCCCACGGUCCUGUCCAGCCUUCCCAGCCAGAACACGCUUCCCCCUGCCUGCCUUCGCCCUGGGUGGUGGGAGCGGAGAGAAGCCAGGCAGACCUUGGCUGCGUGUUCCUCCUGGAUCCAUUCACGUCCCAAAGCUCUUCAGGAGGAUCAUAACACGGUGUACAUCGAUGUCAUGCCUUCCAUCCCAUGGGAUUCCCAAGACGGGCUGCAAUAGGUUAUAAGUCACGAUGGCGUUGAGCUUUCUCUGUGUACAUCAAUAUAUAGGGUCUGGUGUUUGGCUCCUCAACAAACAGGGCUCUGUGCUCCUGCUUCCAUCA